rnacentral:lncRNA from 1 species
UCGGGAGUUCAAGGCCAGCCUGGCCAAUAUGGUGAAACCCUGUCUCUACUAAAAAUACAAAAAAAAAAAAAAAAAAAAAAUAGCUGGAUAUGAUGGCAUGUACCUGUAGUCCCAGCUACUCAGGAGGCUGAGGCAGAAGAAUCGCUUGAACCCAGGAGGCAGAGGUUGCAGUGAGCUGAGAUUGCUCCAUUGCACUCCAGCCUGAGAAACAAAAGCAAAACUCUAUCCCCACCCCCCCCAAAAAAAAGGAAGGAAAAGAGAAGAAAAAAAGUCAUCUGUGCCCUCGAGCAACAUCUUUAACCAUUCGCCUAAUUCAAACCACUGGGAUGAAAAUGUAUAUCCUGUAUAUACCAUCUCUACUGCUGGGAAAAAAGACACGUCAACUCAAUACCCAUCCUAUUUUUAGACGGCCUGAGAUUCGUCCUUAUCCAUGCAGGGCAGUCGGGUAGGACAAUGAAGAGGUGGACUUCUGAAUUUGAGAGAAAUUGGUCUUAUCCCAGAGAAGUGAGGCCACCACCCACCUGCAAUAGCUUGGCUUCCUGGAUCCCUAAGCAAAGAGGGUAGCAGACAAGCAAGAGGGUGGAAUUUGCAGCAUCUCAUCUUGGUGAGACAGUUGGAAGACUUUUCUGCCAAUUAUAGUGGUUAAACACUGACUCAACAUCAAACAACGGCAUGAGGGGUCAGAGCCUUCAUUCGUGGACAAGUUUCAAAAACAUGGGAGCACCACCUGUCAUGAGCAAUUUAGUCAGAACAGAAGAGAAUAGAUCACACCCAACAAGACAGAAAAAGCUGCUUUCUGGAGAGGGCGGGAGCUAAUAUUUCCUAACACGGUGAAAUUGUGAAGUGCUUUUUGCAGCCCUUCAUAAUUUCAUCAUCCAAAGGGUUUGCUUUUGGAAUUCUUAGACACUUAAUUCUGUCCCUGCUUUCCGUGUCACUUCCACGGGACACUGAAUUUGGGAAGAGGGAGACCUCACCAAUGAUGGGAAGAACAGAUUGGGGGCUGGCGCCCUUUUGGGUUUGCCAUGUGAACAUCCUCCUGGAACAGUCUCCAUUCUGUCCCAGCAAGACACACUCUGCUCUGUGAAGAACCCAGGUGGGAAAAAAAAAAAAAUCUAUGAGGCCACAGUGGAAAUGCA